rnacentral:rRNA from 1 species
GAUGAACGCUAGCGGCAGGCUUAACACAUGCAAGUCGAGGGGUAGAGGCUUUCGGGCCUUGAGACCGGCGCACGGGUGCGUAACGCGUAUGCAAUCUGCCUUGUACUGGGGGAUAGCCCAGAGAAAUUUGGAUUAAUACCCCAUAGUAUUUUCGGUUGGCAUCAACUGAUUAUUAAAGUUUUUCGGUACAAGAUGAGCAUGCGUCCCAUUAGCUAGUUGGUAUGGUAACGGCAUACCAAGGCUACGAUGGGUAGGGGUCCUGAGAGGGAGAUCCCCCAGACUGGUACUGGGACACGGACCAGACUCCUACGGGAGGCAGCAGUGAGGAAUAUUGGUCAAUGGUCGCAAGAUUGAACCAGCCAUGCCGCGUGCAGGAUGAAGCAUCUAUGGUGUGUAAACUGCUUUUGUACGGGAAGAAACAUUGCUACGUGUAGCAGCUUGACGGUACCGUAAGAAUAAGGAUCGGCUAACUCCGUGCCAGCCGCCGCCGUAAAAC